rnacentral:rRNA from 1 species
ACUCCUACGGGAGGCAGCAGUGGGGAAUAUUGCACAAUGGGGGAAACCCUGACGCAGCAACGCCGCGUGAGUGAGGAAGGCUCUUGGGUCGUAAAGCUCUGUCAGAUGGGAAGAACUGUCAGUGGUCUAAUAGGCCAUUGAUUUGACGGUACCAUCAAAAGGAAGCACCGGCUAACUUCGUGCCAGCAGCCGCGGUAAUACGAAGGGUGC